rnacentral:tRNA from 1 species
GGGCGUAUCGUCUAACGGCAAGGAUCUUCGGUUCUCAUCCGAAAGGUCGGGGUUCGAAUCCCCGUACGCUCACCA